rnacentral:ncRNA from 2 species
AUAAGUUUGUAGGGGAACCGGUGUUGCCGGUUGAGAGUGCGUCCGUAAGAUGCUGACCCUUGAACCUGAUCUGGUUAAUACCAGCGUAGGGAACAUACUUUUUUGCGAU